CCUACGGGAGGCAGCAGUGAGGAAUAUUGGUCAAUGGUCUUGCGACUGAACCAGCCAAGUCGCGUGAGGGAAGACUGCCCUAUGUGUUGUAAACCUCUUUUGUCAGGGAGCAACGCCGGCUACGUGUAGCCGGACUGAGAGUACCUGAAAAAAAGGCAUCGGCUAACUCCGUGCCAGCAGCCGCGUGAAUACGGAGGAUGCGAGCGUUAUCCGGAUUUAUUGGGUUUAAAGGGUGCGUAGGCGGAAUGCCAAGUCAGCGGUAAAGUCGCGGGGCUCAACCUCGCGCCGCCGUUGAAACUGGCGGUCUCGAGUGGGAGAGAAGUAUGCGGAAUGCGUGGUGUAGCGGUGAAAUGCAUAGAUAUCACGCAGAACUCCGAUUGCGAAGGCAGCAUACCGGCGCCACACUGACGCUGAAGCACGAAAGCGUGGGUAUCGAACAGGAUUAGAUACCCUUGUAGUC
rnacentral:rRNA from 1 species